UACGUAGGGUGCGAGCGUUGUCCGGAAUUACUGGGCGUAAAGAGCUCGUAGGUGGUUUGUCGCGUUGUCCGUGAAAACUCACAACUCAAUUGUGGGCGUGCGGGCGAUACGGGCAGACUGGAGUACUGCAGGGGAGACUGGAAUUCCUGGUGUAGCGGUGGAAUGCGCAGAUAUCAGGAGGAACACCGUUGGCGAAGGCGGGUCUCUGGGCAGUAACUGACGCUGAGGAGCGAAAGCGUGGGGAGCGAACAGG
rnacentral:rRNA from 1 species